CAGCAGCCGCGGUAAUACGAAGGGUGCAAGCGUUAAUCGGAAUUACUGGGCGUAAAGCGUGCGUAGGCGGUUUGUUAAGUCUGCUGUGAAAUCCCCGGGCUCAACCUGGGAAUGGCAGUGGAUACUGGCAAGCUAGAGUGUGUCAGAGGAUGGUGGAAUUCCCGGUGUAGCGGUGAAAUGCGUAGAGAUCGGGAGGAACAUCAGUGGCGAAGGCGGCCAUCUGGGCCAACACUGACACUGAGGCACGAAAGCGUGGGGAGCAAACAGGAUUAGAUACCCCAGUAGUCCCUGUCUCUUAUAA
rnacentral:rRNA from 1 species